AUGCUUAUCUUGACGAGGUCAAUGGACGAACCAUAAUGGCCAUCGCCUAGAUUGGCGACCUCCAUUGCACUUUGGAGGGGUGCCUGCCUAAGAUCGGCCCGAGUGGUUGAUACUGCGUCAUAAUUUGUUCUAGAGGGGGUCUGCGCUCGCGCGGCCCCUGC